rnacentral:rRNA from 1 species
ACGGAAGGCAGCAGUGGGGAAUAUUGCACAAUGGGGGAAACCCUGAUGCAGCGAUGCCGCGUGGAGGAAGAAGGUUUUCGGAUUGUAAACUCCUGUCUUAAAGGACGAUAAUGACGGUACUUUAGGAGGAAGCUCCGGCUAACUACGUGCCAGCAGCCGCGGUAAUACGUAGGGAGCGAGCGUUGUCCGGAAUUACUGGGUGUAAAGGGUGCGUAGGCGGGACUGCAAGUCAGAUGUGAAAUGCCGGGGCUUAACCCCGGAGCUGCAUUUGAAACUGUGGUUCUUGAGUGAAGUAGAGGCAAGCGGAAUUCCCAGUGUAGCGGUGAAAUGCGUAGAUAUUGGGAGGAACACCAGUGGCGAAGGCGGCUUGCUGGGCUUUAACUGACGCUGAGGCACGAAAGUAUGGGGAGCAAACAGGAUUAGAUACCCUGGUA